rnacentral:rRNA from 1 species
GGGGGUAAAUUAAUUAAGUUAAUAAUUAAUAAAAAAAAUUUUAUUAUGAUAUAUUUUAAUGGGGGUUAAAGUAUAGUUAUAAGAAAAAAUUUGAAAAUUUAUAGUUAAAAAGUAUUGUGAAAGAAAUUUGAAAUAUAUGAAAAUUAAUUAAUUAGUAAGUAAAUUUAAUUUAUUGUAUCUUGGGUAUCAGAGUUUAUUAAUAAAAAUUAUUAAAUAAAAAAAUCUCGAAUUUAAAAGAGAUAAUUAAUUAAAAAAUUUAUUGUUUUAUAAAUAUUUUAAAUAAUUAAUUUGAAAUGAAAUGUUAAUCGUUUUUAAAUAUAUCUAGUUUUUUUAGAAAUAAAUUAAAUUUAUAAUUUUUUUUUGUAAUAAAAAAUUAAUUUUUUAUUACAAAAAAAAAAUUUAAUAUUUUAAGGGAUAAUCUUUAAAUUAAAUUUUUAUAAUUAUAUAUAUAUAUAUAUAUAUAUUAAAUUUUAAAAUUUUUAAAAUUUAUAUUGUUUAUAAAUUAUAUUUUUUUAUAAAAAAUUUUAUUAAUUAAAAAAUUUUUAAUUAAAAAUUUAAUUUUUUAUAAAAAAUUAUUUUUAAAUAAAAUAAAAAUAGAAAUAAUGAUAAAAUUAGUAUAAAUUUAAAAUAAAUUAAAAAUAAAUUAAUUAGAAAAUUAAUUAAAAGGAAUUCGGCAAAAUUUUAUAUUCACCUGUUUAUCAAAAACAUGUCUUUUUGAAAAUAAUUUAAAGUCAAAUCUGCCCACUGAUUGAUUUAAAGGGCUGCAGUAAAUUGACUGUACAAAGGUAGCAUAAUCAUUAGUCUUUUAAUUGAAGACUUGUAUGAAAGAUUUGAUGAAAUAUAAACUGUCUCUUUUUUAUAAUUAGAAUUUAAUUUUUUAGUAAAAAAGCUAAAAUUUAUUUAAAAGACGAGAAGACCCUAUAGAGUUUUAUUAUUCAUUUAAUUAUAAUUUUUUAUUAAAUUUAAAUAAAAAUUAAUUUAAUUAUUUUAUUGGGGUGAUAAAAAAAUUAAAUAAACUUUUUUUGUAUUUAAACAUUAAUUAAUGAUUAUAUGAUCCAUAAAUUAUGAUUAUAAGAAAAAAUUACCUUAGGGAUAACAGCGUAAUUUUCUUUUUUAGUUCUUAUAAAAAAAAAAGUUUGCGACCUCGAUGUUGGAUUAAGAUAAAAUUUAAAUGUAGAAGUUUAAAUUUUUUGAUCUGUUCGAUCAUUAAAAUCUUACAUGAUCUGAGUUCAAACCGGUGUAAGCCAGGUUGGUUUCUAUCUUUAGAAAUUUAAAUUAUUUUAGUACGAAAGGAUUAAAUAAUUAAAAUAAUUUUAAAUAAAAGAAUUUUAUUAAUAUAUUAAUUAUAUAUAUAUAUAUAUAUAUUGCAUAUAUAAU